UGCGCUUUAUGGCGUAUUCGAGCCUGCCUUCGACAAGGAGGGUUAAGUCGUAACAAGGUAUCUGUAGGGGAACCUGCAGAUGGAUCACCUCCUAAGAAA
rnacentral:rRNA from 1 species